GCAGUCGAACGGUAGCACAGAAGAGCUUGCUCUUCGGGUGACGAGUGGCGGACGGGUGAGUAAUGUCUGGGGAUCUGCCCGAUAGAGGGGGAUAACCACUGGAAACGGUGGCUAAUACCGCAUAACGUCGCAAGACCAAAGAGGGGGACCUUCGGGCCUCUCACUAUCGGAUGAACCCAGAUGGGAUUAGCUAGUAGGUGGGGUAACGGCUCACCUAGGCGACGAUCCCUAGCUGGUCUGAGAGGAUGACCAGCCACACUGGAACUGAGACACGGUCCAGACUCCUACGGGAGGCAGCAGUGGGGAAUAUUGCACAAUGGGCGCAAGCCUGAUGCAGCCAUGCCGCGUGUAUGAAGAAGGCCUUCGGGUUGUAAAGUACUUUCAGCGGGGAGGAAGGGGGGUGAGGU
rnacentral:rRNA from 1 species